GGAUGUUCCUAUGCAUGGACACCUCCACCUCCAGGUGACAUCCAGGAUUAAAACAAUCUGAAGACACCCAACCAGUCACUCCUACAGCAAGUAAAAUGACUGCUGGUUGAGCUACAAUAUUUGGACUGCCUAGUCUGCAGGACAUUUCAACUGAGUGACUUCCCAGCUGUGAAGACUUCAGUAUUGAUGCAUCCAGUCAAUAGCAGGGAACUUGAGGGGAAAAAUAAAGUAGCACAGACAUAGACACUGGAAAAAGCAACACCUCCUGAAUUACCACCACCACUUCCCAGGGAGGUAGUGGUUGGAUCUGUCAGUAGUCUGCCAACUACUGACUCAGCCUGUCCCCAUUUUUAUGUCCAAGACCUAAUAAGAUCAAAUUGAAAUUGCUUGCAUUGGGGUAGCAUAUAGAGUUUCAUACAGGAUCACCAUCUUCUUAAAAUCAGUGCACUUAGUAUAAUCAUAACACACCCUGUUAGUAGAGGUUGACAGUCAAGCUGGGUUAUGAUUUAGCAACAGGUUCGGAGUUGACAUGGCAUGGCUGCAUUACACAGGAGAUUGGUAGCAGAGCUGGAAAGAGGAAUAAAGGUUGUUUGAAGCUCAGUUUCUCCCUUCACAUCUGGAUCACUAGCUUCUGACUGACUGCCAGAUCUCUCCAGAAUGAUAACAUUCACCAA